rnacentral:rRNA from 1 species
UACGUAGGUGGCAAGCGUUGUCCGGAAUUAUUGGGCGUAAAGCGCGCGCAGGCGGUCCUUUAAGUCUGAUGUGAAAGCCCACGGCUCAACCGUGGAGGGUCAUUGGAAACUGGGGGACUUGAGUGCAGAAGAGGAAAGUGGAAUUCCAAGUGUAGCGGUGAAAUGCGUAGAGAUUUGGAGGAACACCAGUGGCGAAGGCGACUUUCUGGUCUGUAACUGACGCUGAGGCGCGACAGCGUGGGGAGCAAACAGG